rnacentral:lncRNA from 1 species
UAAAAAACCAAUCCUUUGCUACGAGAUCUGUGGAAAGAGAAGUCCAGAGGGGCAAAGAAGGGGAGGAGGAGCCACAGUUUGAGUACUGAAGUCAUUAUUGCUUGGAGUCUAUAAAAAGGCAGUUGCACAGAAUCCCCAGCCCCAGAUGUUGGGAGAGGAGGGGGGCUGAAACUUCAGCUCUCUGGAGGAAAGGUUGCAGGCGAUGAAGAGGAAGAGCAGCUGAAGGAGCAGCUCUGAUAAAUAGGAUCUUUUAUCUUUUGGAAAAUGCAUUUAUCACACUCCUUGGCAAGCCCCUCAGAAGGAAUA